rnacentral:rRNA from 1 species
GUCCACGCCCUAAACGAUGCGAACUAGGUGUUGGGGAAGGAGACUUCCUUAGUACCGCAGCUAACGCGUGAAGUUCGCCGCCUGGGGAGUACGGUCGCAAGAUUAAAACUCAAAGGAAUUGACGGGGACCCGCACAAGCGGUGGAUGAUGUGGAUUAAUUCGAUGCAACGCGAAAACCUUACCUACCCUUGACAUGUACCGAAGCCCGGCGAGAGCCGGGUGUGCCCGAAAGGGAGCGGUAACACAGGUGCUGCAUGGCUGUCGU